GACGAACGCUGGCGGCGUGCUUAACACAUGCAAGUCGAACGAAAAUACCAAGCUUGCUUGGUUGAUUAGUGGCGAACGGGUGAGUAACACGUGAGUAACCUGCCCCUUACUUUCCUGGAUAACUGCUCGAAAGGGUAGCUAAUACGGGAUAUUCUGACCAUCCUGCAUGGGUUGGUUUGGAAAGGUUGUUUUUCUGGUAAGGGAUGGGCUCGCGGCCUAUUAGCUUGUUGGUGGGGUGAUGGCCUACCAAGGCUUUGACGGGUAGCCGGCCUGAGAGGGUGGACGGUCACACUGGGACUGAGAUACGGCCCAGACUCCUACGGGAGGCAGCAGUGGGGAAUAUUGCACAAUGGGCGCAAGCCUGAUGCAGCGACGCCGCGUGAGGGAUGAAGGCCUUCGGGUUGUAAACCUCUUUCGUCAGGGAACAAGGCAUUGCCUUUUUUGGUGGUGUUGAGGGUACCUGGAUAAGAAGCGCCGGCUAACUACGUGCCAGCAGCCGCGGUAAUACGUAGGGCGCAAGCGUUGUCCGGAAUUAUUGGGCGUAAAGAGCUCGUAGGCGGCUGGUCGCGUCUGUCGUGAAAACUUCCGGCUCAACCGGGGGCUUGCGGUGGGUACGGGCCGGCUAGAGUGCGGUAGGGGUAACUGGAACUCCUGGUGUAGCGGUGGAAUGCGCAGAUAUCAGGAAGAACACCGAUGGCGAAGGCAGGUUACUGGGCCGUUACUGACGCUGAGGAGCGAAAGCGUGGGGAGCGAACAGG
rnacentral:rRNA from 1 species